rnacentral:rRNA from 1 species
GAGUUUGAUCAUGGCUCAGGAUUAACGCUGGCGGUAUGCCUAACACAUGCAAGUCGAACGGAAUACUAAUUAAGAGAAUCUCACACUAGUGAGAGGUUCUCACGAGUAGUAUUUAGUGGCGGACGGGUGAGUAACACGUUGGAACCUGCCCCGAAGUGGGGAAUAACUGCUCGAAAGAGUAGCUAAUACCCCAUAGUAUCCGGUUUAUCCGGAUUAAAGAUUUAUCGCUUCGGGAGGGGCCUGCGUCUGAUUAGCUAGUUGGUGAGGUAAAAAGCUCACCAAGGCGACGAUCAGUAGCUGGUUCGAGAGGAUGACCAGCCACACUGGGACUGAGAUACGGCCCAGACUCCUACGGGAGGCAGCAGUGAGGAAUCUUCCACAAUGGGCGCAAGCCUGAUGGAGCAAUACCGCGUGCAGGAAGACGCUUUUCGGAGUGUAAACUGCUUUUGUCGUCGAAGAUUAUGACUGUAGACGAAGAAUAAGGACCGGCUAACUACGUG